rnacentral:rRNA from 1 species
AUUGAACGCUGGCGGCAUGCCUUACACAUGCAAGUCGAACGGCAGCACAGGGGCAACCUUGGUGGCGAGUGGCGAACGGGUGAGUAAAGCAUCGGAACGUACCUGUUAGUGGGGGAUAGCUCGGCGAAAGACCGGAUUAAUACCGCAUACGACCUACGGGUGGAAAGACGGGGGAGUCGCAAGACCUCGCGCUAUCGGAGCGGCCGAUGUCAGAUUAGGUUGGUUGGUGGGGU